CACGAGUUUGAUCAUGGCUCAGAUUGAACGCUGGCGGAAUGCUUUACACAUGCAAGUCGAACGGUAGAGGGGGCAACCCCUUGAGAGUGGCGAACGGGUGAGUAAUAUAUCGGAACGUGCCCAGUCGUGGGGGAUAACGUAGCGAAAGUUACGCUAAUACCGCAUACGAUCUAAGGAUGAAAGCGGGGGAUCGCAAGACCUCGCGCGAUUGGAGCGGCCGAUAUCAGAUUAGGUAGUUGGUGGGGUAAAGGCUCACCAAGCCAACGAUCUGUAGCUGGUCUGAGAGGACGACCAGCCACACUGGAACUGAGACACGGUCCAGACUCCUACGGGAGGCAGCAGUGGGGAAUUUUGGACAAUGGACGCAAGUCUGAUCCAGCCAUUCCGCGUGCAGGAUGAAGGCCCUCGGGUUGUAAACUGCUUUGUACGGAACGAAAAGGUUUCUCUUAAUACGAGGAGCUCAUGACGGUACCGUAAGAAUAAGCACCGGCUAACUACGUG
rnacentral:rRNA from 1 species